ensembl:misc_RNA Metazoa_SRP Metazoan signal recognition particle RNA
GCUGGGCGUAGUGGCGGGUGCCUGUAAUCCCAGCUACUCAGGAGGCUGAGGCAGGAGAAUCGCUUGAACCUGGGAGGCGGAGGUUGCAGUGAGCCGAGAUUGUGCCACUGCACUCCAGCCCAGGCAACAGAGUGAGACUCUGUUUCAA